UACGUAGGGGGCAAGCGUUGUCCGGAAUCAUUGGGCGUAAAGGGCGUGUAGGCGGUCCGCUAAGUCUGAUGUGAAAGCCCGAGGCUUACCCUCGGAAGUGCAUUGGAGACUGGCGGACUGGAGUCCCGGAGAGGAGGGUGGAAUUCCUGGUGUAGCGGUGAAAUGCGUGGAUAUCAGGAGGAACACCAAUGGCGAAGGCAGCUCACUGGGACGGUAUUGACGCUGAGACGCGAAAGCGUGGGGAGCAAACAGG
rnacentral:rRNA from 1 species